rnacentral:misc_RNA from 1 species
GAAAUGCGAUACGUAAUGCGAAUUGCAGAAUUCAGUGAAUCAUCAAAUCUUUGAACGCAAAUUGCGCUUCUUGGAUAGGCCAGGAAGCAUGCCUCUUUGAGCAUCGUUUUCACCUCAGCUCGACUGCUUUCUUGUAAUGAGAAAUGUCAUGUCGGAUAAUGAUGUUGUCUCGCUUCGAAAGGAGCGGGUCACUUUAAAUGCGGUGAGCUCUUUGUUUCAAUUUACUCGAUUAGCGCCUGUUUUCUCUUUCGGGAGAAUUUGGGGCCUGUUCAUUCGAACUAAUC